rnacentral:rRNA from 1 species
GAUGAACGCUGGCGGCGUGCUUAACACAUGCAAGUCGAACGAAGCUGCUUAAAGGAAGUCUUCGGAUGGAAUUUAGGUAGACUUAGUGGCGGACGGGUGAGUAACGCGUGGAUAACCUGCCUUAUACAGGGGGAUAACGGAGAGAAAUUUCCGCUAACACCGCAUAAGACCACAGCACCGCAUGGUGCAGGGGUAAAAUAUUUAUAGGUAUAAGAUGGAUCCGCGUCCGAUUAGCUAGUUGGUGAGGUAAAGGCCCACCAAGGCGACGAUCGGUAGCCGGCCUGAGAGGGUGAACGGCCACAUUGGGACUGAGACACGGCCCAAACUCCUACGGGAGGCAGCAGUGGGGAAUAUUGGACAAUGGGGGCAACCCUGAUCCAGCCAUGCCGCGUGUCUGAAGAAGGCCUUCGGGUUGUAAAGGACUUUUGUUAGGGAAGAAAAGGGAAGUGUUAAUACCACUUUUUGCUGACGGUACCUAAAGAAUAAGCACCGGCUAACUACGUGCCAGCAGCCGCGGUAAUACGUAGGGUGCGAGCGUUAAUCGGAAUUACUGGGCGUAAAGCGAGCGCAGACGGUUACUUAAGCAGGAUGUGAAAUCCCCGGGCUCAACCUGGGAACUGCGUUCUGAACUGGGUAGCUAGAGUAUGUCAGGGGGGGGUAGAAUUCCACGUGUAGCAGUGAAAUGCGUAGAGAUGUGGAGGAAUACCGAUGGCGAAGGCAGCCCCCUGGGAUAAUACUGACGUUCAUGCUCGAAAGCGUGGGUAGCAAACAGG